rnacentral:rRNA from 1 species
AGUGAACGCUGGCGGUAGGCCUAACACAUGCAAGUCGAACGGCAGCACAGUAAGAGCUUGCUCUUACGGGUGGCGAGUGGCGGACGGGUGAGGAAUACAUCGGAAUCUACCUUUUCGUGGGGGAUAACGUAGGGAAACUUACGCUAAUACCGCAUACGACCUACGGGUGAAAGCAGGGGAUCUUCGGACCUUGCGCGAUUGAAUGAGCCGAUGUCGGAUUAGCUAGUUGGCGGGGUAAAGGCCCACCAAGGCGACGAUCCGUAGCUGGUCUGAGAGGAUGAUCAGCCACACUGGAACUGAGACACGGUCCAGACUCCUACGGGAGGCAGCAGUGGGGAAUAUUGGACAAUGGGCGAAAGCCUGAUCCAGCCAUACCGCGUGGGUGAAGAAGGCCUUCGGGUUGUAAAGCCAUUUUGUUGGGAAAGAAAAGCAGCAGGUUAAUACCCCGCUGUUCUGACGGUACCCAAAGAAUAAGCACCGGCUAACUUCGUG